ACAACCUUACUUGAACAAGAUUUAUUCUAUAGGAUUACACCAUUUGUGUCCUUGAUUUCUAAAAGACAUAAGAUAUACCU
rnacentral:snoRNA from 1 species